rnacentral:sRNA from 1 species
AUGCGCGCGCCCCGGCGGCGCGGGUCUGGGUCUGGGUCUGGGGAUGUGGUGCCGGCUGCCGGCGACCGCCGGCAGUAGAGCGGUGGCCAGGCCGCUGGCCUUGCUCUGGCGAUGUGGUGGCCCAGGAGGUGGCAGGACGGUCAAGACCAGCGCGAGGGUCCUGGGCAGGGCCCGACAGAAGAAGCUAAUAAGCUUAUCUGGUCUCUUGUUUCAGUGCCUCUAGGGGAUCCACGUUCAGAAGCUGACUCUGCAGGCGAGACCAACGUUAUUUUCCCGGUGGCUGUGUUCAAAACCACCCAAAGGGUUUGAGAAAUACUUUAAGAGGAGUGGAAGGAACAAACUCAGAAACAUCAACAGCACCAAAAAAAGAGACUGGUGAACUAGAGAAUGCCGAGUCUGGAGGAGAUGGAGGCAGGAGAGGAGGGAAGCGGGAUGACGUUGCCUGGUGGAGGCGGAUGCAGAAGGGGACUUCUGCAAUCUGGCCCUUUUGGGGGCAGGCGUUGCCAUGGGAUUUUUCUACCUCUAUUUUCGAGAUCCUGGAAGAGAAAUCACUUGGAAGCACUUUGUAUAGUAUUACCUGGCCAGAGGUCUGGUGGACCAGCUGGAAAUCCUGAACAAUUUGUGCGUGUUAUUCCUGCCCCUGGGAUCUCUUCUGAAGGAGCCAUGCUCAUUGGUCCUCCUGGUACCGGCAAGACCCUUCUUGCCAAAGCAACUGCAGGGGAGGCCACUGUGCCCUUCAUCACUGUGAACGGGUCUGAGUUCCUGGAAAUGUUUGUUGGCGUUGGGCCAGCAAGGGGUGCAACUCUGCCACCAACGUCGUGACGUUGGCUGGCACCAAAUGCCCUGGCAUCCUGGACCCGGCCCUGAUGCGGCCUGGCCGGUUUGAUCGCCAGAUUUACAUUGGUCCCCCUGACAUCAAAGGCAGGGUCCUCCAUCUUUAAGGUCCACCUACGCCCACUGAAGCUGGACGAGAGCCUCAAUAAGGAUGUCCUGGCGAGGAAGCUGGCAGCGCUCACCCCAGGCUUCACUGAGGGGGAUGACUCAGCAGGGCUGACUCAGCACUACCCCUCAACAGAGAUGACUUAGCUUUGCCCCUCAGCAGGGAUGACUCUGAUGACUCUGCCCCUCAGCAGGGAUUACUAAGCACUACCUUUUAACAGGGAUGGCUCAGCACUGCCCCCCGACAGAGAUGACUGAGCAGGGAUGACUCAGCACUGCACUCCAACUGAGAGGACUCAGCAGGGAUGACUCAGCACUGCCCCCCAACGGAGAUGACUCAACAGGGAUGACUCAAUGCUGCUCCUCAGCAGGGAUGACUUAGCAGGGAUGACUCAGCACUGCCCCCAACGGAGAUGACUCAACAGGAUGAUCAUGCUGCUCCAGCAGGGAUGACUUAGCAGGGAUGACUCAGCACUGCCCCUAACGGAGAUGACUCAGCAGGGAUGACUCAGCACUGCCCCCAACGGGGAUGACUCAGCAGGGAUGAUUCAGCAGAGAUGACUCAGUACUGCCCCUCAGCAGGGAUGACUCAGCAGGGAUGACCAGUAUUGCCCCUGAAUGGGGAUGACUCAGCAGGAAUGAUGCAGCAGGGAUGACUCAGCACUGCCCCUCAGCCAGGAUGACUCAGCAGGGAUGACUCAGCACUGCCCCUCAGCCAGGAUGACUCAGCAGGGAUGGCUCAGCACUGCCCCUCAGCAGGGAUGGCUCAGCACUGCCCCGCAGCAGGGAUGACUCAGCAGGGAUGGCUCAGUACUGCCUCUCAGCAGGGAUGACUAAGCAGGAAUGACUCAGCAGGGAUGACUUAGCACUAACCCCAACGGAGAUGACUCAGCAGAGGUGGCUCAGCAGGGAUGACUCAGCACUGCUCCUCAGCAGGGAUGACUCAGCAGGGAUGACUCAGGACUGCCCCCCCAACAGUGAUGACUCAGGAGGGAUCACUCAGCACUGCCCCCAACAGGUAUGGCUCAGCAGGGAUGACUCAGCACUGCCCCCCCAACGGUGAUGACUCAGCAGGGAUGACUCAGCACUGCCCCCCAACAGGUAUGGCUCAGCAGGGAUGACUCACCACUGCCCCCAACAGGGAUAACUCAGCAGGGAUGACUCAGCACUGCCCCCAACGUGGAUGGCUCAGGAGGGAUGACUCAGCACUGCCACCAACAGGGAUGGCUCAGCAGGGAUGACUCAUUACCGCCCCCCCACGGGGAUGACUCAGCAGGGAUGACUCAGCACUGCCACUCAACAGGGGUAGCUCAGUAGGGAUGACUCAGCACUGCCCCCCAAUGGGGUUGACUCAGCAGGGAUGACUCAGCACUGCCAACUGCCCCCCAACGGGGAUGACUCAGCAGGGAUGACUCAGCACUGCACUCAACAGGGGUGGCUCAGCAGGGAUGACUCAGCACUGCCCCCAACGGGGAUGACUCAGCAGGGAUGACUCGUCACUGCCCCCAACGGGGAUGACUCAGCACUGCCCCUCUACAGGGAUGACUCAGCAGGGAUGACUCAGCACUGCCCCUCAGCAGGGAUGACUCAGCAGUGAUAACUCAGCACUGCCCCUCAGCAAGGAUGACUCAGCAGGGAUGAUUCAGCAGAGAUAACUUGGGGAUGACUCUGACUGCCCCUCAGCAUGGAUGAGUCUGUUUUGCUCCAAUGGAAGCAUCCAUAGUGUCCAUCAGCAGGUGAAUGGCUAAAGUGGUAUAUACUGUAGUCAAAUUCUGCUAUAAAAAGGAAUAAAGUAUUGAUGCAUGCCACAACAUGGGUGAACCUGGAAAAUACUGUUCUAAAUGCAAGAGGCCAGGAACAAAAGGCCACAUAAUAUAUGUUCCCAUUUAUGUGAAAUGUGCAGAAUAAUAAUAAAAAUGUAUAGAAUAGCAAAUCUGUAGGGACAGACAUGAAGUGAGUGGUUGCCAGAAGUGGAAAUGAGAGUUAACUAUAAAUAGCAUAGGGUACCUUACAGAGAUGAUGGAAAUGUCCUAAAACUAGAUUAUGGCAAUGGUUGCACCACAUGAUCCGUUUAUUAAAAAUCGUUGAUGUGUGUGUGUAAAAUGGAUGGAUUUUAUGAUUUAUAAAUUAUACCUUAAUAAAGGUUAACAAAAAAUGUGGCU